AGAGUAUAGCUUAGUGGUAGAGUGCGUGCUUAGCAUGCAUGAGGGCCUGGGUUCAAUCCCCAGUACCUCUA
rnacentral:tRNA from 1 species